rnacentral:rRNA from 1 species
UACGAAGGGGGCUAGCGUUGUUCGGAAUUACUGGGCGUAAAGGGCUCGUAGGCGGCCCUCUCAGUCGGAUGUGAAAUCCCCAGGCUUAACCUGGGAACGGCAUCCGAUACUGGAGGGCUUGAAUUCGGGAGAGGGAUGCAGAAUUCCAGGUGUAGCGGUGAAAUGCGUAGAUAUCUGGAGGAAUACCGGUGGCGAAGGCGGCAUCCUGGACCGAGAUUGACGCUGAGGAGCGAAAGCUAGGGGAGCAAACGGG